rnacentral:rRNA from 1 species
UACGUAGGGGGCAAGCGUUGUCCGGAUUUAUUGGGCGUAAAGAGCGUGUAGGCGGCCACACAGGUCAGCUGUGAAAACUCGAGGCUCAACCUCGAGACGUCGGUUGAAACCGUAUGGCUAGAGUCCGGAAGAGGAGAGUGGAAUUCCCGGUGUAGCGGUGAAAUGCGCAGAUAUCGGGAAGAACACCCGUGGCGAAGGCGGCUCUCUGGGACGGUACUGACGCUGAGACGCGAAAGCGUGGGUAGCAAACAGG